GACGGAGGAGGCAAGCGUUAUCCGGAAUUAUUGGGCGUAAAGAGCUCGUAGGCGGCUCGGUAAGUCGGGUGUGAAAACUCUGGGCUCAACCCAGAGACGCCACACGAUACUGCUGUGGCUUGAGUCCGGUAGGGGAGCGUGGAAUUCCUGGUGUAGCGGUGAAAUGCGCAGAUAUCAGGAGGAACACCAGCGGCGAAGGCGGCGCUCUGGGCCGGAACUGACGCUGAGGAGCGAAAGCGUGGGUAGCAAACAGG
rnacentral:rRNA from 1 species